rnacentral:rRNA from 1 species
CCUACGGGGGGCUGCAGUGAGGAAUAUUGGUCAAUGGACGCAAGUCUGAACCAGCCAUGCCGCGUGCAGGAAGACGGCUCUAUGAGUUGUAAACUGCUUUUGUACGAGGGUAAACGCAGAUACGCGUAUCUGUCCGAAAGUAUCGUACGAAUAAGGAUCGGCUAACUCCGUGCCAGCAGCCGCGGUAAUACGGAGGAUGCGAGCGUGAUCCGGAUUUGUUGGGUUUAAAGGGUGCGUAGGCGGUCCGGAAAGUCAGCGGUAAAAGCCCGGGGCUCAACCCCGGCGAGCCGUUGAAACUGUCGGACUAGAGACGGCGAGAGGUACGCGGAAUGCGCGGUGUAGCGGUGAAAUGCAUAGAUAUCGCGCAGAACUCCGAUUGCGAAGGCAGCGUACCGGCGCCGGACUGACGCUGAGGCACGAAAGCGUGGGUAUCGAACAGGAUUAGAUACCCUAGUAGUC